GACAAUGCCAAAAUAAAUGUGGAACUGUUUCUGGAUGCUUAACACAAAAGGUACAAUUAAUGUUAAUGUAUUUUUUAAGUUUCUUCAGGUAAUGAUUCGCAGGGUAAUACUUAUGGAUCAUUCUGAAAGAGACCUCUGACCUUGUUAAUAAGCUCUGCCCUCAAGUUAAGCGGACACUUCAGAUGACGUCUGAUGAGUUGACACUUGCAGGGCAUGGGAAGAACGAAUUUGUUUUAAAUGGACCGCCCUUGCCUGGAAAUGUGUCACUUGUUCGUCCCACGGUUGUGUUUUCAGUCAUCAUAGAACCACCGGUAGCUGUUGUGUGUGCUUUAUACACUACAGUAAAUUAUGAUUGCAUUUCCUAUCUUGGCUAAAAGACAACGCAUCUGCAGACAUCGAAUGCUAGCCAUCCGACAAAAUCUGGUAAAUCUAAAAUUACAAUGUGCCCGGGAGUGAACACUCGCAACCUCGAUCACAAACGAGGGCUGAGGGGCUUACGUUGCCAACUUCCCUUGUUUGGCUAAUUGUUUGGACCGACGGCAAAGAUGGCCGCGGGGAUUCCCCUAGGGCAUAUGGCAGGGGCACUGAGGCACUGUUCCAGAUGGUCUUCAGGCGCUAUGGCCUUCUGGAGGAAAUCGUCUCCCACCGUGGCCCCCAAUUCACGUCAUGGUUAUGGAGAGGCUUCAUGGAGAAGCUGGGUGUCACGGUCAGCCUCACAACCGGGUACCGCCCUCAGUCCAACAGGCAGGUGGAAAGGAUGAACCAGGAGCUGGGGAGGUUCCUUAGGAGUCACUGCCAGGAUCUUCAUGUUUCUUAUUAUUAAACUCACCUUCUGCACCGGCUUGAAUUAUUUAGGCUAAAUUAUUAUUAUUUCAAUGCUAUAGCCUACCAUUUAAGAAAUCAAUUAUGAAGAGUUUGUGACACACUACAGGCUGUAACGAGCGCUCAGCAUUUCAACAACACAUCAACAACAGCACUUCAACAACAUGCCUAUACAUUUUGCAUUUAGUCUGUUUAAAAUGAAAAUGUAUUUAUUUGUAUUUUUUAUUAAAUAAUAUUGACAUUAAAAAUGCCUUAUUUGGCUAUACAGUAAUUCUACAGUGUCUUUGAAUUCACAUUUAGAAACACAAGUUUGGCCAGUCUUUGGUUUGAGGAUCAUGCAGUGAGCUGUACAUGCCUACACUGUAGUUUGAUCAUUAAGCCCAGCAGAUGCUUUUAUAUUCCCAUGCCCUAAUCACAGUCAACACAAAUCUAUGUUCUAACAAAAAUAUAAUGGAAUAAAACCGAAUAAAUUAGAAAAUUAUAGUUUCCCAAAAGAAAAAAGUUACAACUGCAUAUAGGCCUACCUGAUGAUAUGCGGCUGCAGUGUUAACCUUUUUCUU
rnacentral:lncRNA from 1 species